rnacentral:pre_miRNA from 13 species
UCCUAUCUCUGGUUUGUGCGUGGAUCUGAGGCCAUCACAACCGUCCACUACACGACCACCCAAUGGCUUUAGAUUCACGCACAAACUCGCGAUCUGUCU